AUGGUGAGAACUUCACUCUAUGCAGAUGACGCAGCCAUUUUCAUGGCCCCAAUUAAAAAUGAUAUUGACAACCUCUCAGCCAUCUUGAGCGGAUUCGGGGAGGUCACCGGGCUAUGCACCAAUUUCCAAAAGAGCUCUGUUGUGGCCAUUCGAUGCAAUCACCUUAAUCUAGAGCACAUCCUUCAAAGCUUGCCGGCGAAAAGGGCGUCCUUCCCCUUAAGAUAUUUGGGCCUUCCUCUAUCCGUCUGGAAGCUUAAGUUGGUGGAUUGGCAAUUCCUUGUGGACAAGGUUGCGGGCAAGCUGGUUACCUAUGAUGGACAAAAUAUCACCACCAGUGGACGCACUGCCCUUGUCAAGUCCGUCAUCACCUCUCAAGCGAUCUACUUCAUCACGCCAUUGGUCGUACCGCCGAGCAUUCUUCAAAGCAUCAACAAACUCGAGCGAGCCUUCCUUUGGUCCAGAUCGGACAAGACGACGGGUGCCAAGUGCAAGGUGAAUUGGGAGAUUGUCUGUCGGCCGCAUGAAUAUGGUGGUCUAGGGGUCCUCAACACUGACAAAUUUGCGAGGGCCUUGCGUUUGAGGUGGCCAUGGUUUGAAUGGACGGCGCCUCACAAGAUGUGGGUCGGAUUGGGAAACCCAUGUGACGAGGAGGACCUUGACUUCUUCUAUGCAUCCACAACCAUCACCAUGGGGAAUGGUGCUAAAACACCUUUUUGGGAUUCCCCUUGGCUUCAUGGAGGCAAGCCCAAGGAUGUCGCUCCUCUCAUUUUUGAGGCCUCCUCGAGGAAGAAUUGGAAGGUGCGCGAGGCUCUAAAAAAUAAUGCGUGGAUCAUCAAAAUCAAUACCUCCACGGUCGUAUCAGUUGAACACAUCCGGCAAUUCUUCACUCUUUGGGCGCUUUUAAUUGAUGUCCACCUUGUUGGACAUGCCAAAGACACCAUUGUGUGGAAGCACACGACAAGCGGGCAUUACUCUGCGGCCUCCGCCUACAAGGCCCAAUUUCUAGGAUUGGUCGUCUCCCCCAUGGAUCAAAUGAUUUGGAAGGCUUGGGCGCCGCCAAAGGCUAAAUUCUUUGCUUGA
rnacentral:rRNA from 1 species